rnacentral:rRNA from 1 species
GUGGGGAAUCUUAGACAAUGGGGGCAACCCUGAUCUAGCCAUGCCGCGUGAGUGAUGAAGGCCUUAGGGUUGUAAAGCUCUUUCAGUGGGGAAGAUAAUGACGGUACCCACAGAAGAAGCCCCGGCUAACUCCGUGCCAGCAGCCGCGGUAAUACGGAGGGGGCUAGCGUUGUUCGGAAUUACUGGGCGUAAAGCGCACGUAGGCGGAUCGGAAAGUUGGGGGUGAAAUCCCAGGGCUCAACCCUGGAACUGCCUUCAAAACUAUCGGUCUGGAGUCCGAGAGAGGUGAGUGGAAUUCCGAGUGUAGAGGUGAAAUUCGUAGAUAUUCGGAGGAACACCAGUGGCGAAGGCGGCUCACUGGCUCGGUACUGACGCUGAGGUGCGAAAGCGUGGGGAGCAAACAGGAUUAGAUACCCGUGUAGUCC